GACGAACGCUGGCGGCGUGCUUGACACAUGCAAGUCGAACGGUAAGGCCCUUCGGGGUACACGAGUGGCGAACGGGUGAGUAACACGUGGGUGAUCUGCCCUGCACUUCGGGAUAAGCCUGGGAAACUGGGUCUAAUACCGGAUAGGACUCCUGGCUUCAUGGUUGGGGGUGGAAAGCUUUUGCGGUGUGGGAUGGGCCCGCGGCCUAUCAGCUUGUUGGUGGGGUAAUGGCCUACCAAGGCGACGACGGGUAGCCGGCCUGAGAGGGUGACCGGCCACACUGGGACUGAGAUACGGCCCAGACUCCUACGGGAGGCAGCAGUGGGGAAUAUUGCACAAUGGGCGCAAGCCUGAUGCAGCGACGCCGCGUGAGGGAUGACGGCCUUCGGGUUGUAAACCUCUUUCAGCACCGACGAAGCGCAAGUGACGGUAGGUGCAGAAGAAGGACCGGCCAACUACGUGCCAGCCGCCGCGGUAA
rnacentral:rRNA from 1 species